rnacentral:rRNA from 1 species
CCUACGGGAGGCUGCAGUCGAGAAUCAUUCACAAUGGGGGAAACCCUGAUGGUGCGACGCCGCGUGGGGGAAUGAAGGUCUUCGGAUUGUAAACCCCUGUCAUGUGGGAGCAAAUUAAAAAGAUAGUACCACAAGAGGAAGAGACGACUAACUCUGUGCCAGCAGCCGCGGUAAUACAGAGGUCUCAAGCGUUGUUCGGAAUCACUGGGCGUAAAGCGUGCGUAGGCUGUGUCGUAAGUAGGGUGUGAAAGGCGCGGGCUCAACCCGCGGACGGCACAUGAUACUGCGAGACUAGAGUAGUGGAGGGGGAACCGGAAUUCGCGGUGGAGCAGUGAAAUGCGUAGAUAUCGAGAGGAACACUCGUGGCGAAGGCGGGUUCCUGGACAUUAACUGACGCUGAGGCACGAAGGCGAGGGGAGCGAAAGGGAUUAGAUACCCUUGUAGUC